rnacentral:rRNA from 1 species
AGCGAACGCUGGCGGCAGGCCUAAAACAUGCAAGUCGAACGCCGUAGCAAUACGGAGUGGCAGACGGGUGAGUAACACGUGGGAACAUACCCUUUGGUUCGGAACAACACAGGGAAACUUGUGCUAAUACCGGAUAAGCCCUUACGGGGAAAGAUUUAUCGCCGAAGGAUUGGCCCGCGUCUGAUUAGCUAGUUGGUGGGGUAACGGCCCACCAAGGCUACGAUCAGUAGCUGGUCUGAGAGGAUGAUCAGCCACACUGGGACUGAGACACGGCCCAGACUCCUACGGGAGGCAGCAGUUAGGAAUCUUGGACAAUGGGCGCAAGCCUGAUCCAGCCAUGCCGCGUGAGUGAUGAA